UCCAAAAACAUGUUUUUGGACCAAAUAAAUUACUAGCAGAUCCAAAGCACGUGCGAGCCUUGUAAUGAACAAUGAAGAUUUUAUUUCAGCUCAAACGAAUUGCGAAUUCAAGUUCGAUUGAUUGGAUAGGAGGAAUCACAGGAGCGAGAUAAAAUGUCUAUUAAUGCUCAGAGACGCUAAAGUUGAUGAAAAGGGAAAUGUUCUCGAUGUGAAAGAUUUUAAUGUCAUGUACAUGGACUAGAACUUGGCCCGUGCCGUAACGGCACGGCCACGAAAAUAAGUGAAAAAAUUAUUUUGACCAGUGUUAUUCAUUUGUUGUUACUAUUUAAAGUGACAAUUGUUCUUCACACAUUUUGAUUAUUAUUUUUUCUUUUGUAUUUGACCGAGCUUAUUUUAACACCUAAAAAAUCAAGCACAA